ACCCUUGGGGGCGUGCUACACAUGCAGUCGAACGAUGAAGCUGGGGCUUGCUCUGGUGGAUUAGUGGCGAACGGGUGAGUAACACGUGAGCAACCUGCCCUGGACUCUGGGAUAAGCGCUGGAAACGGCGUCUAAUACUGGAUACGAGACGUGGCCGCAUGGUCAACGUUUGGAAAGAUUUUUCGGUCUGGGAUGGGCUCGCGGCCUAUCAGCUUGUUGGUGAGGUAAUGGCUCACCAAGGCGUCGACGGGUAGCCGGCCUGAGAGGGUGACCGGCCACACUGGGACUGAGACACGGCCCAGACUCCUACGGGAGGCAGCAGUGGGGAAUAUUGCACAAUGGGCGGAAGCCUGAUGCAGCAACGCCGCGUGAGGGAUGACGGCCUUCGGGUUGUAAACCUCUUUUAGCAGGGAAGAAGCGUGAGUGACGGUACCUGCAGAAAAAGCGCCGGCUAACUACGUGCCAGCAGCCGCGGUAAUACGUAGGGCGCAAGCGUUAUCCGGAAUUAUUGGGCGUAAAGAGCUCGUAGGCGGUUUGUCGCGUCUGCUGUGAAAUCCCGAGGCUCAACCUCGGGCCUGCAGUGGGUACGGGCAGACUAGAGUGCGGUAGGGGAGAUUGGAAUUCCUGGUGUAGCGGUGGAAUGCGCAGAUAUCAGGAGGAACACCGAUGGCGAAGGCAGAUCUCUGGGCCGUAACUGACGCUGAGGAGCGAAAGGGUGGGGAGCAAACAGGCUUAGAUACCCUGGUAGUCCACCCCGUAAACGUUGGGAACUAGUUGUGGGGUCCUUUCCACGGAUUCCGUGACGCAGCUAACGCAUUAAGUUCCCCGCCUGGGGAGUACGGCCGCAAGGCUAAAACUCAAAGGAAUUGACGGGGACCCGCACAAGCGGCGGAGCAUGCGGAUUAAUUCGAUGCAACGCGAAGAACCUUACCAAGGCUUGACAUACACGAGAACGGGCCAGAAAUGGUCAACUCUUUGGACACUCGUGAACAGGUGGUGC
rnacentral:rRNA from 1 species